AUGAAAACCAGUCCAUCAUGUGAGCUGGAUCUCACUGGUGCUGAAGUGUUCAGAUGGGCAGCUGUAAAAUCACCUGAAUCACUCAACAUUAUCUGUUACUACACAAUACAGGGGAUUAAUAAAACAUCACCUCAUUCUCCUCCUGCCACAGUGACGGUUCGAGCUUUACCUGUAAUAUCCACUUCUGAAGCCACAACAUACACUACAACUGUGACCUCUACUGGAGAAGCUUUGGCAACAACCACACAAACUGUUUCAACAGAAACAUCCACUCAGAAAGAUUCGCAAAUAGACACAUUUUCAGCAACAAUAGCUGUCACUUUCACAACAGCAUCACCCAGAACAGGCACAUGGUUUAUAGUGCUGGUUUCCAUUGGUGUUGCUGUAUUCUUGUCUGGACUCACGGGACUCAUCUGUCUGUGCUGGUUUGCAAGUCAAAAAAGAAGAAAACUAUUAAUAAAAACUGAAGUGCCCAGUCAAGGAGUUGCUAUGAGUUGUUCUGGACCUGCAGAGAUAUAUUCUCUUAUCACUUCUGUACCAGAAACAUCUCAGCCCAUAUCUGGAGACCUCGAACACCCAGAAUCACAUCAGGACAGCACAGCAGAUCCCACAGACACUCACUCUUUCAUUAUGUCUGAAAAUUCAAUAUACCAGCCAUCAGAUGUUUUGGUCAACAAACAGAAACAGGGUAAUGCAGAGGAAAAUGAGAAUGUUUAUCACCUGUACUCCAUGAUCCCUGACAAACCAGUUCACUCAAACGCAGAAGAUCACGUGUACAGUCUGGUGAAGAUGCACUGAUGAAUCUCAUGUCUGUGUUCAUUAAUUAUAGCGACUAUAAAUAACUUGUCUUUACUUUCAGACAAAGCAGUAGUUGUUUAUUAUUUUUAUGAUUCAGUUUUUGGUGUGGAAUAUACUGUGACUUCAUUGAAUAUCUAGAGCAUCUUCUUUGGCAGUCCAACUGGUACAGUACCACUAGUGGAGCUUGGGCAUUCAGUAAGACCUGAACUAAAAUUUUGAUGAUAAAUGAAAAUGUUUUACUUCUUUUCUGAUGAAAUUGAACCAUCUGAAGGUUUGAACCAAAUCUUUUUUUUCUUAUUAGUUUUCUGUAUAUUUAAAAAAAAAAAAUGCUUAAAUCAGAUUUUCAAGGUCCAUCAUGUGACGUAAACUUCUCCUCCCACAAAACCCAGCCAAUUACGUCAGAGAUUUGUUUUGUUAGUAACUCUGAAUGGUCUGUACUCUAUAUGCUUUAAGAAUCAUCCCCAAACUUUUUUUUUUUUCAAUGUUUCAGGCCUCUAAAACUAUUAUAUCAGAUAUUAUUGUAUAUGCUCUAUGAUGCACAUAUACUGUAUGUAAAUGUUACAUUGCAUAUGGAUGUAAAUAUGAAUCAUGAUCUAUUCUUUCAUCUACAUGAAAAUGAAGAGUAUGUUGUAAGGUUUCUGUGGUCUGAAACUACUUCCUAAUUCACCCAUUGUGUAAGGCUCAUUCUGUGUGUUUUCUCUCUGUAAUGGAGUUGUUCCUCAUAGUUUUUCUACUCUUUGUGGAGGUUCAGUCUUACACAUCUCCUACUGUAAAAGUAUCUCCAGAUGUCAUAAGAGAGUCCAGCUCAGUGAAGAUCAGCUGUGAGACGCCAGCUGUUCCUGUGGAUCUGUGUUAUUUCUACAUAAACAGUAAGGAGAAGAAUGUAAAAACCAGAUGGAGAUGUGAGCUGGAUCUCACUGGUGCUGAAGUGUUCAGAUGGGCAGCUGUAAAAUCACCUGGAUCACUCAACAUUAUCUGUUACUACACAAUACAGGGGAUUAUUAAAACAUCACCUCAUUCUCCUCCUGCCACAGUGACGGUUUGA
ensembl:lncRNA